CUGAGCAGAAAUUUGGCUCAUUGGUCUAGACAUGAAGUUGGAGACAUUCAUAAACAGGUUGCCCAAUGGGAAGAAAAGAUUCAAACUCUAGAAGAACAAGACAUUGUUCACAAUUCAGAAAUUGCUAGAGAAGAAGUGAACAAGGCUCAUGCAGAAUACACAAAAUGGAUGGGAUUACAAGACUCAAUCUUCAGGAAAAAGGCUCAUACUCAAUGGUUCAAAGAGGGAGACAGAAGUACCAAGUAUUUCCACAGUUUACUCAGAAACAACAUAAACAGGCUUCAGAUCAGAAGAAUCAAAAACCACAAAGGAAAAUGGAUACAGAAGGAGGACAACAUUGCUAAAGCUGCUGUCAAACACUUUCAAUCUAUUUUCACUCUUGCAGAUCCUAUCCUUGAUCAUAAUAUUUUGAAUUGUAUUCCUAAACUGAUUACUGAUCAAAAUAAUUCUAACUUAACUAUGUUACCUAUGCAGGAGGAAAUCAAAGAAGCAGUCUUUAGCCUCAGUGCAGAUAGCAUAGCAGGACCAACUGGAUUUAAUGGCAUUUUCUUUCAAAGCUGCUGGGACAUUAUUAAGCAGGACAUAACUGACUUUAUUAUAUAAUUUUUUCAUGAAAACAACUGACAAAAUUCUAUUCUCAUACAUGUUUAGCUCUAAUUCCCAAAAUUAGUACCCCAGACUGUUUUGCUCAAUUUAGACCAAUCAGUUUAUCUAACUUUUCCAAUAAGAUUAUUUCUAAAAUUUUGGCAAGAAGAUUAAAUCCUUUAUUACCUAAUUUAACUUCUCAUAAUCAGUCUGAUUUUGUUAAAGAUAGACUGAUUACUAAAAAUGUUCAAUUAGCCCAAGAGAUUAUUCAAGACAUCUCUAAAACCAACAAGGGUGGUAACAUUGUGUUGAAAUUGGAUAUGGCCAAAGCCUAUGAUAUGAUGUCCUGGACCUUUGUCUCAGAAGUCCUUAGGAAAUUUGGUUUUGCAGACUCUUGGAUUAACUUGAUUUUAAAUCUUGUUUUAGGUAUGUGGUAUUCAAUCAUCCUGAAUGGCAAAAGGGUUGGCUUUUUUACAUCUUCUCAAGGACUAAAACAACGAGACCCAUUAUCACCUUCUUUAUUCAUUCUAGCUGCUGAAGUUUUAACUAGAUCUCUUAAUAAUCUUCUGUUAAAUGAAAAUUUCAUACCUUUUUCAAUGUCAGGAAGAGGUCCUCUAAUUAACCAUCUGGCUUAUGCAGAUGAUAUAGUUAUUUUCAGCAGUAGAAAAACUAGAACCAUUAAAUUGGUAAUGAAGCAGAUCAAGAAAUAUGAACAAAGCUCAGGCCAAAAGGUUAACAGAGAGAAGAGUUUCUUCCUAACAUCCCCAAGAACCUCUGCUACCAGCAUUAACAGAAUGAGAAAUAGUACAGGGUUCAUGGAUAAGGACUUCCCUUUUACUUAUCUAGGGUGCCCAAAGAUAUGUUGGCAGGAAAAAGAUUGAGUACUUUGAUAACAUAGUUAGUAGGGUCAUCAGCAGAUUGCGUGGUUGGAAAGGGAAAACGUUAUCUUAGGGAAGAUAAUACUCAUCAAACAUGUUUUGCAAGCUCUCCCAACUUAUACACUUACAGCUCUUUCACCUCCAAAAGCCAUUUUUAAGAUUUUGAAAAAACACUUUGCUAACUUCUUUUGGGGAACAGACCAAGGGCAAAAGAAAUACCAUUGGUGUUCUUGGAAGAAUUUGUGUUAUCCAGAAGCAGAAGGUGGCAUUGGCAUCAGGAGUCUGGAGGAUCAAAGUAAGGUUCUAGCUACUAAAAGAUGGUGGAGAUUCAGAGCAGUCCCUUCCCUUUGGGCAACUUUUUUGAUCAACAAAUAUUGUGUAAGGGCCCAUUGUACCACCAAGCAGUGGGCAUCAAGUAAUUCUCAUCCGUGGAAGAUGAUGACUCAAGUUAGAAGCAAUACUGAAAAGCACAUGAUUUGGCAUAUUAACUACGCUCUUAUAGCUUCUGGUGGGAUAAUUGGACCGGCAAAGGGCCACUGGCACACUCUUACCCUGAUAGUAGAAAGAGCAUCAGUACUCUAGUCAGUCUCUUUAUUCAAAAUGGUACUUGGAAUUUACAGAAGUUGAGAGGUAUUGUUACUGAAGAUAUGGUGGAUCAUAUUAUUGAUGGAAAAUAUUCCAACAAGUCUGCUUGGCAUAGCAUCAGAACUAAAAAACCUACUAACCAGUUUCUUGGCAACAUUUGGAAUUCCCACACCCCUUUUAAGGUUUCCUUCCUAACCUAGAGGUUAUGGCAAGGGAAACUCCCUUUUGAUGAUUUUUUGUCUAGAAUCAGCAUCAGUAGGAAUUCCACAUGCAACUGCUGUCAACCACAGGUAGCAAAAAAUAUGCAACCUCUUUUAUUAAUGGUGAAGCUGCUCAGAAGAUCUGGAGACAUUUUGGAAUUCCACUGGGUAUUAAUACACAGCAGAGUACUUUCAGGUAUAUGUUACACACCUGGUGGAAUCAAAGGAGUGUCAAUGAAGUUCACAAAAAGGUUGUUCAAAUUGUCCCUUUGUUCAUUUGCUGGGAAAUUUGGAAACAAAAUUGUGAGUGUAAAUAUGGCGAAAGGAAAAAGUUCAGUGUGUAUAGAAUGAUCCAACAAGCAUAAAGGAACAUUCAAAAGUCUAUUUUGCAAGCUUUCCCUUCUAAUCCCUUGACAUUUCCUUGGAUCUCCUUUUGUGACACCCUCUUCAAACUUAAACUUGCCCCUAAAUCUAUCAUAGUUUGUUGGAAACUACCUAGUGGAGGAAUCUACAAACUGAACACAGAUGGCAGUUUUAAAUCAGCUAAUGUCAACGCAGGGAUAAGAGGUAUACUGAGAAAUGAAGAGGGUAACAUGGUUCUUGGUUUUUCAGUACCCAUUCAAUGUGCAAGUAACAUAGAAGCUGAGGCAAUGGCUGCAAAGUAUGGGAUAAAUCUCUCUAUAUUCAGAAGAACUACUCUGGUUUCAUGCUAGAAGUAGACUCAACUAUCCUGGUUCAGAUGAUCAAUGACAACAAGAGCCUAAACUACAACCUGAACUGGAUCAUGGAGGAUAUUAAACAAAAGAAUAUACAAGCAAAGCUCAAAGUGGAGCACUGUUUUAGAGAGGCAAAUAGAGUAGCAGACUAUUUGGCCAAGAAUGCUGCAGGAAGCCAGAAUGUUACCUUAUAUGACUCCUAUCAGCAACUUCCUAUAGGGGCUAAAGGUCCAUUCCAGCUGGACAAGAGCUAAAUGCCUUCCAUAAGGAUCAAAUAUGACAAGGCAAAUUUUUUUGUAAGCUAAAUUGUAUAAGAGUCAUACUUUUGUAAGGUUUGCUGUUAGCUAAGAGUUUAGCUUCACUUCCCUGUUGAUUGGAUAUUGUAUUAUCCUCUAGUGUUGUAUCCAGAGGUUCAAGGCCAAGUCCACUUCUUGUAAUCUAUUGCUUCUGAAAUACAACACCCUAGACAACCUGGGAA